AUUGAACGCUGGCGGCAUGCUUUACACAUGCAAGUCGAACGGCAGCGCGGGCUUCGGCCUGGCGGCGAGUGGCGAACGGGUGAGUAAUGCAUCGGAACGUGCCCAGUAGUGGGGGAUAGCCCGGCGAAAGCCGGAUUAAUACCGCAUACGACCUGAGGGUGAAAGCGGGGGACCGAAAGGCCUCGCGCUAUUGGAGCGGCCGAUGCCGGAUUAGCUAGUUGGUGGGGUAAAGGCUUACCAAGGCGACGAUCCGUAGCUGGUCUGAGAGGACGACCAGCCACGCUGGGACUGAGACACGGCCCAGACUCCUACGGGAGGCAGCAGUGGGGAAUUUUGGACAAUGGGGGCAACCCUGAUCCAGCCAUGCCGCGUGCGGGAAGAAGGCCUUCGGGUUGUAAACCGCUUUUGUUCGGGAAGAAAUCCUCUGGGCUAAUACCCCGGGGGGAUGACGGUACCGGAAGAAUAAGCACCGGCUAACUACGUG
rnacentral:rRNA from 1 species